AACACCUCAAAGCUUUUGGAUUUUUUUUUGAAAGCUUUGGACUUGAGCAAUCCCAACACCAAUCUUUUUUUAAGAUCGGUGGCGGGUUGCUUGAAAUGCAGGUGCAGCUGGACAUUCUCCUGAGCUAAAAGCAUAUUCAUUUAGUCCCGUCAAACGGAUUAUUACUUUUGCUGCAGCUAACAUAAAGGGAGUUUGACCGUAUUGGCUGACUGAUGCAGGAUUUCACAAGGGUCGGCAACGAUUCUUGUUAAAC
rnacentral:misc_RNA from 1 species